rnacentral:rRNA from 1 species
UACGUAGGGUGCGAGCGUUGUCCGGAAUUACUGGGCGUAAAGAGCUCGUAGGUGGUUUGUCGCGUUGUUCGUGAAAACUCACAGCUUAACUGUGGGCGUGCGGGCGAUACGGGCAGACUGGAGUACUGCAGGGGAGACUGGAAUUCCUGGUGUAGCGGUGAAAUGCGUAGAUAUCAGGAGGAACACCGGUGGCGAAGGCGGCUAUCUGGACAGAGUCUGACGCUGAGGCGCGAAAGCUAGGGGAGCAAACAGG